GCAGUGAGGGAANNUUGUCAUAGCCUAACGGCUGAACCAGCAACUUGGAGGAAUGUAUAGCACUAGCUACUUGCAUCAUGUUUCUUUAGUUUUCGUAAAGGAUACUACGGAGACUGAUGAUGCAAGAUCGACUAUGUUGAAUAAAAUUCUAGGUAGAAUUAUGAUAAUGACAUUGUCUGCCUAUGUGUCUUGACUAAAUUACGUGCCAGCAGUCGCGGUAAUACGUAGAAGACUAGUGUUAUUCAUCUUUAAUAGGUUUAAAGGGUACCUAGACGGUAAAUCAAGCUUACAUGAAAUAAGAUAAAUGCAGGGACUAAUUUACUAGAGUUACUUAUGAGGGGGUUUUAAAGUACUGCUGGUGUAGAGAUGAAAUUCUGUCAUACCUAUUUUCAAUAGAAAACUGAGGGCACAGGUAUAGGCGAAAGCAUCCCCUUAUGUGAUAACUGACGUUGAGGGACGAAGGCUUUGUGUAGCGAACAGGAUUAGAUACCCUAGUAGUCAAAGCAGAAAAUGAUGAAUGUCAUAGAUUAGACGUAUAAGUUUAUUCUAUAAAUGAAAGUGUAAGCAUUCCACCUCAAGAGUAAUUUGGCAACAUUGGAACUGAAAUCAUUAGACCGUUUCUGAAACCAGUAGUGAAGUAUGUUGUUUAAUUUGAUGGUCCGCAAAAAACCUUACCACAAUUUGAAUAUUUAUAUUUUUUUUAUUGUUUUCUUAUUAAUUUUAUUCCUUUUCUGCAGUUUUUUCUUGUUUUUAUUUUACUUCUUAUUUCUUCUUUUUCAGAUUUCUUUUAGUGUACUACACUACAAGAAAUUUGAAAAAAAAGAAGAAAUAAGAAUAAUAAUCAGAAUAUGAUAAGAUCAGAAAAUCAGAAAAUUAAUGAGGGGGCAAUAAAGUAUAUUUACAAGCGCUGCACGGCUGUCUUCAGUUAAUGUCGCGAGACUAUGGUUAGUUCCAUUAAUUAACGUAAACCCUUACUUUAUUUUU
rnacentral:rRNA from 1 species